GGAAGACUUUUCCUGCCCCUUUGCUGAUUCCUACAGAGAAGCCUGGCUCCCAUCGCUGGGCACAUGGAAGGAACAAACCAGGUGUGAAGACUGGACAAGGGAAAUGAGCCCACAUCACUUCCUUGGGAAGAGAAGAGAAGAUCCGGCAACUUCCAGAGGGGAGCAGAAACAGAAAAAAAUGUUUGAGAAGCUGAAGUAGUGGCAGAGGUACCAGGGAGAAGAAGUAAGAGGGCUGCAGCAGGAGUGGAAGCACCCGGGCAAAUGACUCAUCUGCCUCAGGC